rnacentral:lncRNA from 1 species
GGGAUUUUUUAAAAAGUCUAUCCCACUUCUUGGGAUUUUUUUUUUUAAAAAGUCUAUCCCAAUCCUUGGGAUUUUUUAAAAAGUCUAUCCCAAUCCUUGGGUUUGGGAUUUUUUUUUAAAAGUCUAUCCCGAUGUUGGGAUUUUUUAAAAAGUCUAUCCCACUUCUUGGGAUUUUUUUUUAAAAAAGUCUAUCCCAAUCCUUG